rnacentral:lncRNA from 1 species
CCUUCUGGACGAGCCUUUGGCAUGAGCGGCGGAUCGCACUAAUGCUCCAUCCCGUUCUGCAGCGGAGCAGCGCUUGGCGCGAGGAGGCAGGAGACUCCCUCAGGAGAACUUUGUGAGAACAGAGCUGCACGGCUGAGCUAGGACAUUGGUGCUGCUGAUUAGGAAAUACACUGCUCCCAAACCAGUCCCCUGGAGCUGAGUGUACAAGCACAGCGUGGAGAAGGCAGGAAAAUGAACCCAUGUGGAACGCUGUGAACUCAGAGUUCCUCACACCACAGAAAUAAAUGUCCUCUUCUUAGACAUUCGUCUGAAUUGUGCAGGAAAAACGUACAAGAGUGAAAUCUGUACUACCCGUGUGCUGACUGCUGGGGGUUUCAGGCUGCCACAAACACACAAACAAAAAUGGUUCCUGGUUCCAAAUGACACCAAUCAUUUCUCCCUCAAAAGCUAUUACAUAUGGCACCUCAAAAGCUAUUGCAUGUGGCGCCGUGGAAGUUCUGAGAAGUGAAAACACAUGAUUUAUUUAAUAAAAAAUUAGUGGUGUCAGAAUA